ensembl:lncRNA
CACACAGCCUGAAGAACUCCAAAAGACAAUGCCAUGAAACCCCACAUAUUUUAGGGUCUAAGUUGUCAGUAUCAGUGAUCAAACAAUAUUCAAAUACUCUAAUUAGCAAAAGAGCUUUAACAUAUAUCCUCUAGACAUCUAGAUUGUAUGAAGUCAAUGAAGUUCUGCCUUUUUUCCCCCCUCUGUCAGUAGCUAUGUUGGCUUAAGAACCAGCUAUCUGCACUUCCUAAAGCUACAGCCAUCUACAAUAAAUGCUAAACAUCACCUUAUAGCACAGCAUGAGAUAUAUCUUUGGUUGUAAUGCAGAAUGUGUUCAUCAUUAUGAACACAACUAAACUGUUGUACCAUUUGGAUGAACUUGAGGAUGAGCAGAAAACACAGUCCCACAACAUCUGUAGGGCAUGGGUGUCCAAGCUUUUGGCUUGCCUGGGCCACACUGAGAGAAGAGGAAUUGUCUUUGUUGGGAAUUUGUUGCUUCAGAAGUAAUGCCUCCUAUUUAUUUCCAUG